rnacentral:rRNA from 1 species
GGGAGCUUGCUCCCGGAUGUUAGCGGCGGACGGGUGAGUAACACGUGGGUAACCUGCCUGUAAGACUGGGAUAACUCCGGGAAACCGGAGCUAAUACCGGAUAGUUCCUUGAACCGCAUGGUUCAAGGAUGAAAGACGGUUUCGGCUGUCACUUACAGAUGGACCCGCGGCGCAUUAGCUAGUUGGUGAGGUAACGGCUCACCAAGGCGACGAUGCGUAGCCGACCUGAGAGGGUGAUCGGCCACACUGGGACUGAGACACGGCCCAGACUCCUACGGGAGGCAGCAGUAGGGAAUCUUCCGCAAUGGACGAAAGUCUGACGGAGCAACGCCGCGUGAGUGAUGAAGGUUUUCGGAUCGUAAAGCUCUGUUGUUAGGGAAGAACAAGUGCAAGAGUAACUGCUUGCACCUUGACGGUACCUAACCAGAAAGCCACGGCUAACUACGUGCCAGCAGCCGCGGUAAUACGUAGGUGGCAAGCGUUGUCCGGAAUUAUUGGGCGUAAAGGGCUCGCAGGCGGUUUCUUAAGUCUGAUGUGAAAGCCCCCGGCUCAACCGGGGAGGGUCAUUGGAAACUGGGAAACUUGAGUGCAGAAGAGGAGAGUGGAAUUCCACGUGUAGCGGUGAAAUGCGUAGAGAUGUGGAGGAACACCAGUGGCGAAGGCGACUCUCUGGUCUGUAACUGACGCUGAGGAGCGAAAGCGUGGGGAGCGAACAGGAUUAGAUACCCUGGUAGUCCACGCCGUAAACGAUGAGUGCUAAGUGUUAGG